rnacentral:rRNA from 1 species
GACGAACGCUGGCGGCGUGCUUAACGCAUGCAAGUCGAACGGAAAGGCCCUGCUUUUGUGGGGUGCUCGAGUGGCGAACGGGUGAGUAACACGUGAGUAACCUGCCCUUGACUUUGGGAUAACUUCAGGAAACUGGGGCUAAUACCGGAUAGGAGCUCCUGCUGCAUGGUGGGGGUUGGAAAGUUUCGGCGGUUGGGGAUGGACUCGCGGCUUAUCAGCUUGUUGGUGGGGUAGUGGCUUACCAAGGCUUUGACGGGUAGCCGGCCUGAGAGGGUGACCGGCCACAUUGGGACUGAGAUACGGCCCAGACUCCUACGGGAGGCAGCAGUGGGGAAUAUUGCACAAUGGGCGGAAGCCUGAUGCAGCAACGCCGCGUGCGGGAUGACGGCCUUCGGGUUGUAAACCGCUUUCGCCUGUGACGAAGCGUGAGUGACGGUAGUGGGUAAAGAAGCACCGGCUAACUACGUG